rnacentral:rRNA from 1 species
GAUGAACGCUGGCGGCGUGCCUAAUACAUGCAAGUCGAGCGAACAGACGAGGAGCUUGCUCCUCUGACGUUAGCGGCGGACGGGCGAGUAACACGUGGAUAACCUACCUAUAAGACUGGGAUAACUUCGGGAAACCGGAGCUAAUACCGGAUAAUAUAUUGAACCGCAUGGUUCAAUAGUGAAAGACGGUUUUGCUGUCACUUAUAGAUGGAUCCGCGCCGCAUUAGCUAGUUGGUAAGGUAACGGCUUACCAAGGCGACGAUGCGUAGCCGACCUGAGAGGGUGAUCGGCCACACUGGAACUGAGACACGGUCCAGACUCCUACGGGAGACAGCAGUAGGGAAUCUUCCGCAAUGGGCGAAAGCCUGACGGAGCAACGCCGCGUGAGUGAUGAAGGUCUUCGGAUCGUAAAACUCUGUUAUUAGGGAAGAACAAAUGUGUAAGUAACUAUGCACGUCUUGACGGUACCUAAUCAGAAAGCCACGGCUAACUACGUG